rnacentral:rRNA from 1 species
CCUACGGUGAGCAGCAGUGGGGGAUAUUGCACAAUGGGGGAAACCCUGAUGCAGCGACGCCGCGUGGGUGAAGAAGUAUUUCGGUAUGUAAAGCCCUAUCAGCAGGGAAGAAAGAAGACGGUACCUGACUAAGAAGCCCCGGCUAACUACGUGCCAGCAGCCGCGGUAAUACGUAGGGGGCGAGCGUUAUCCGGAUUUACUGGGUGUAAAGGGAGCGUAGACGGCAGUGCAAGUCUGAAGUGAAAGGCAAGGGCUCAACCCUUGGACUGCUUUGGAAACUGUGCUGCUGGAGUGUCGGAGAGGCAAGUGGAAUUCCUAGUGUAGCGGUGAAAUGCGUAGAUAUUAGGAGGAACACCGGUGGCGAAGGCGGCUUACUGGACCGUAACUGACGUUGAGGCUCGAAAGCGUGGGGAGCAAACAGGAUUAGAUACCCUAGUAGUC